rfam:Cystobacter fuscus DSM 2262 contig20, whole genome shotgun sequence.
GUGCCAGUAGCUCAGCUGGAUAGAGCAUCGGCCUUCUAAGCCGAGGGUCGUGGGUUCGAGUCCCGCCUGGCGCG